GGUAACUUGGCCGAGCGGUCUAAGGCGUCAGACUUAAGUUCUGAUCUCCAUAAUGGAGGCGUGGGUUCGAACCCCACAGUUACCA